AUUGAACGCUGGCGGCAGGCCUAACACAUGCAAGUCGAGCGGAUGAAGGGAGCUUGCUCCUGGAUUCAGCGGCGGACGGGUGAGUAAUGCCUAGGAAUCUGCCUGGUCGUGGGGGAUAACGUCCGGAAACGGGCGCUAAUACCGCAUACGUCCUGAGGGAGAAAGUGGGGGAUCUUCGGACCUCACGCUAUCAGGUGAGCCUAGGUCGGAUUAGCUAGUUGGUGGGGUAAAGGCCUACCAAGGCGACGAUCCGUAACUGGUCUGAGAGGAUGAUCAGUCACACUGGAACUGAGACACGGUCCAGACUCCUACGGGAGGCAGCAGUGGGGAAUAUUGGACAAUGGGCGAAAGCCUGAUCCAGCCAUGCCGCGUGUGUGAAGAAGGUCUUCGGAUUGUAAAGCACUUUAAGUUGGGAGGAAGGGCAGUAAGUGAACACCUUGCUGUUUUGACGUUACCAACAGAAUAAGCACCGGCUAACUUCGUG
rnacentral:rRNA from 1 species